AUGGGGCUUCUCGAAGAAGCGGAGGUGGACAUCGGGGCUCCUUCUCACGAACCCUUUGGGUUUGGUGAUGACUUGCAGGAAGAGGGUGAUGAGGAGGAGGAAGGGGAAGAUGAGGAGGAGGUGACCGAGAUAGAGGAGGAGGCGUUCGCCGCCAUCGCAAAACCCACCGUGCGCUUGACAAACUAUAGCGAGGACGAAGAUAUUCUCUUGGUUUGUGCUUGGGCACAUGUGGGGUUGGAUGCAAGCACCGGUACGGAUCAAACCGGUAAACGCUAUUGGCAACGCAUAGAGGACGCCUAUUGCAAGAUCAAGCCGAAGACCGGUGGGUACAUCCCUCGUAGUUACCGGUCGCUUCAAGGCCGGUGGGAGUUGAUGUAGCCCCAUUGUGCUCGUUGGAGUGCGGCAAUGGACCAAGUGAAGGAUGCACUGCCUAGUGGAACCGUGACGAGUGACUAUGAGGAAAUUGCCGACUUGAGGUACAAGGAGAUGGCCGCUUCCAAGGGCAAAGCAUUCCCAUUUAAACAUGUUUGGAAAAUUCUUCAAACUUAUGGCAAGUGGAAGUUGAGGGAUCAAGAGACCGCACCCAAGAAGUCGACAAUGCUUAGGAUGGAUGAUAGUGAAGAGGAGGGAAGGAACGAGCACAAGCCCGCUGGAAACAAGAAGGAUAAGCUAAGGAAGAAGAUGGAAGGAGAGGCGUCAAGCAUAAGGGAGAAGAUAGAACAUAUGAUGAAGUCAAGGGAGGCAUUGACAAUGAAGACAUUGGAGAUAAAGCUUCUUAUCAACGAGAAGAAGAAAGAGGUGAAGCUUGCACAAGUUCAAUCAAGGCGUGAAGAUGCCAAGCGCAAGGCCGACUUGGAGGAGAGGAUGAUCAAGGUCAAAGAAGCAAAGGCAUGGAAAUAACUCAUGGUGGAAGAGAAGGAGCACAUGAUGAUGUCCAAGAAGGACAUGGAUGAAGACCAAUUGAUGUGGUGGAAGGAGUACAAGCAGGACAUCCCAGAGAGGAAGAGGAUAUUCCGUGGUGUGUCCUCUACUCUUCGAGGUGACACUCCGGUGAGUGGUGGUGGCGAUGGUGGUGUGGAGGACUCCACCACCGGCGACAAUGGAGGUUCUUGA
rnacentral:rRNA from 1 species